CGGACGGGUGAGUAAUGUCUGGGAAACUGCCUGAUGGAGGGGGGUAACUACUGGAAACGGUAGCUAAUACCGCAUAACGUCGCAAGACCAAAGAGGGGGACCUUCGGGCCUCUUGCCAUCGGAUGUGCCCAGAUGGGAUUAGCUAGUAGGUGGGGUAACGGCCCACCUAGGCGACGAUCCCUAGCUGGUCUGAGAGGAUGACCAGCCACACUGGAACUGAGACACGGUCCAG
rnacentral:rRNA from 1 species